rnacentral:rRNA from 1 species
CAGCAGUAGCCGCGGUAAUACGUAGGGUGCAAGCGUUAAUCGGAAUUACUGGGCGUAAAGCGUGCGCAGGCGGUUUUGUAAGACAGAGGUGAAAUCCCCGGGCUCAACCUGGGAACUGCCUUUGUGACUGCAAGGCUAGAGUACGGCAGAGGGGGAUGGAAUUCCGCGUGUAGCAGUGAAAUGCGUAGAUAUGCGGAGGAACACCGAUGGCGAAGGCAAUCCCCUGGGCCUGUACUGACGCUCAUGCACGAAAGCGUGGGGAGCAAACAGGAUUAGAUACCCGUGUAGUCCCUGUCUCUUAUAC